AAAAAAAGAAACUGUGGGUUCCUGUACCAACGUUUGACUGUCCGUCUUAUAUAAAUUUUUUUAUAAUUAUUAUUUUCAUUGUUGUUAGAUGAUAAAACAUGAUUAAUACUUUAUGCGUGACUUAUCUUUUUAAUUUUUUUCAUAUAUUUUUUAAAAUAAGACGGACGGUCAAAAGUUGGACACGGAAAUCAGGGUUUGUCUUUUU
rfam:Oryza sativa (indica cultivar-group) chromosome 5, whole genome shotgun sequence.